ACCUACGGGGGGCAGCAGUGGGGAAUAUUGCACAAUGGGGGAAACCCUGAUGCAGCAACGCCGCGUGAAGGAAGACGGUUUUCGGAUUGUAAACUUCUGUUCUUAGUGAAGAAAAAUGACGGUACCUGGGGAGGAAGCUCCGGCUAACUACGUGCCAGCAGCCGCGGUAAUACGUAGGGAGCAAGCGUUGUCCGGAAUUACUGGGUGUAAAGGGAGCGUAGGCGGGAUGGCAAGUUGGGUGUUAAAUCUACCGGCUCAACUGGUAGUCGCACUCAAAACUGCUAUUCUUGAGUGAAGUAGAGGCA
rnacentral:rRNA from 1 species